AUACGGAGAGGGCAAGCGUUGUUCGGAUUUAUUGGGCGUAAAGCGCGCGUAGGUGGCAUGGUAAGUCGGAUGUUAAAGACCCACGGCUCACCCGGGGGAAUGCGUCCGAUACUGCCGUGCUAGAGUGCGGGAGAGGAAAGUGGAAUUCCUGGUGUAGCGGUGAAAUGCGUAGAUAUCAGGAGGAACACCGGUGGCGAAGGCGGCUUUCUGGCCCGUAACUGACACUGAGGCGCGAAAGCGUGGGGAGCGAACGGGAUUAGAUACCCCGGUAGUCCACGCCGUAAACGUUGGAUACUAGGUGUAGGAGGUAUUCUACCCCCCCUGUGCCGAAGUUAACGCAUUAAGUAUCCCGCCUGGGGAGUACGACCGCAAGGUUGAA
rnacentral:rRNA from 1 species